AAAUUUUACAAUGAUCGUUUCAUGUAACAAUUGUCUUCCUUACCCUUCCUUUUAAAAAUCUUUAUUAGCUAUAAGCAUCCAGAUGAAAACCACCUAAGGUGUAAUGGACCCCUAUGGAACUUCCUGGAGAACAUAAAGAGAAGGAAAAUGUGACCUACAUUUAUUCUGUGGGAUUUGAGUAUGAUCUGAAGUUACAAGGAAGAUGGCAGUGCGUCAGGACAGAAAGCCGAAAAGGUAAUGAACUACCAGGUGUCGUGGCGCACACCUGUAGUGGCAGUAUUCAGAAGGCUGAGGCAGGAGGACCGCUGGGAGUUCAAGGCCAGCCUGGGCUAUAUAAUGAGUUCAAGGCCAGCCUGAACUGCAUAGCAUGAUCCUGUCUCAAAUAAACAAACAAG
rnacentral:lncRNA from 1 species